rnacentral:lncRNA from 1 species
UGAAAUAAAUGGACAGAAGCUAAUGACUUGUAUAAAUACAGGGAAAAACCUUUGGGAAUAUACAUGAGGAGGAAGAUAACAAGAGGAAGGUGUGCCUAUCUUCAGGUCUAAUAAGACAGAUUUAAAAUAAAAUAAGGACUUAGAAAAUUUAAAUACUAUAAUUAAUAUGCUUGAAUAUGUAUUUAGCCUCUCAUCUAUAAAAAGCGGAUAGGACUUCCUUCCUGUUGUAAUGUUCUUCGGGUAGUAAAAGGAUGCUUCAUCCCAAUAAACAACCCUGCAGGUUGGGGCUAUUUGUUGAGCUUUUGGAAAUUCCAGAGCAUAAUUUCUAGGAGCUGAGCUGUUCAUCCCAGAAUUCUGGACUCAAUCCCAAGGAAAGGACCAAAAUUCCCCUUUGCUUUCAAUUAGAGAAGUGACCUGUGCUCCUGAGUUCCAGCGGCAUGGAGUGUUCUGGGAGGGGCAGCUGGGAUCCUGCCCAGGGUCGGGUCAGCACUGGAAGUCUGGCAGGAAUUCUUCACUGACACAUGAAUGAGAGCGGGUGCCCUUGGUGCUGACUCUUAGCUGGCGACCCUCUUCUCCCUCCUCGGGCUAAGCACGCCCCCUUUGGGGUAAAGGAUUGGGCAGGGCUCCUCCCUGGUGUCUGCUCCUGGAGAUAAGUCCUUGAUGACUCUCUGCAGCCUCCCAUUCGGGAGAUAAAUUUCCGAUUUGGGAGGAAAUCACACACCCCGCCCUAUGCCCCAACAGGAGCGGCUACAUCUCCCAUCCCUCCGCAACGGUGGGAAGUGACUGCGCCCACCCUUCCCCAACCCUGGGGGAUUCCAGAAUUUGAAAGUUCAGAGCUGGAAAGAUAAACAUCACUGCGGAUCCCUCGCUCCCUCAUUGUUUCUCUUCAGGAACAGAAAAGGAACAGAGAGCCGGACUGUGCGGAAAUUCAUCCAUCUGCAGGCGUUGUUAAGGGAACUGCGGCUGAAAUUACGUUUGCGGGUUCCUCCCUUUCCUCUUUGUCAACACCCCCACCCACCUCUUAAGAAAAAGAAAGAAAGAAAGAAAGAAAAAGCUUUGAUUCUUAGUCCAAGACUCCCAGAUGAAUCAUCUGCUGCUCAUGUUGCUAUAAUUACCGGCACAUUUGUACGGUGCAGGGUGGAGGGAGAAGAGUUAGCUCACCGAGGGGCUGAGAAAGGAAUGGCCUUGAUCUAAGCUGCAGCCUGGUUCUAAUUUUAGCAACAACAGAGCGUUGGACUUCCUGGAGGUAUCAGAUUGCCUGUGUUCUCCCCUCCCUGAGCUGGGCUGACCCCAGACAUAUGGAAGAGAUUCAGAUCACAAGAAUCGCAAAUCAAGUCUCACCUCUGGGUCAUCGUCCCCAACCUCUGUCUCAGAACGCGGGGACAAGGUGUCUCACAAUGUCAGAGCUUAGCGAUCUCCUCGUAAAAUUCCUUGAGUGAUAGACAAAGCAGAGGUGGAGAGGAACACAGAAUUCCCCAUCAUGAAAGGCCAGCAGAGCCAGGCCUAGCACCCAGGUCUUCCGGCAUCCAGUCUCGUGUUCCCUGUGACAUCACCCUCUAACGGGUAGGGCAGUGGCCGGGGGAUUUACUGUUUCCCUUUUGAAGUAUGGGCCAUUCAGAAAUAUUUCUAAAUAAUUUCCCCUACUAACUCUGUGUUGUUAAUGAGGCAAAAUUUACACACAGUGGAGUGCACAGACCUCAUGCAUGUAAUUUAAUAAAUUUUGAAAAAUGUACCACCCCUAUGAAGACAGACUGCUUCCAUCACCUCCAGAAAGUCUCCCCAAGGCUUUCCCUUCUAGUCAAUCUCCCAGUCCUCCCCUUAGGCAACUGCAGUUCUAAUUUUUAUCAACAUGGAUUAGUUUUGCUGGUUCUUAACUUCAAAUAAAUGGAAUUGUGGUAUCUGGGAGAUGGACGCGAUUCUAACCCUUAGCUUCUUGUGGGUCCUGUGGCUGACGGUCCCAGUUCCAUUUCUCCUAUCCAAGCCCCUUCUUGCUGGACUGAGUGCAAAGAACCCUUAACUCUGGGGCUCCAUCCCCUAAGCUCAUGACGUGGACAAUUUCAGAUAAGGCCACAGUGUUCUCUGUUGCAUUUUCAAGUGCGAAGACAUUCAGUUUAGUUUUCUACCAUGAGCCAGGCUGACGCCCCUGAGAGUUCUUCAUUCCAUCCUUCAGAUUUCCUGGAGCAAAGUCUGUGAACAUUUUACUCAAUACUGACUCUUCCUCCUUCAAUGAACCUGAAUGUUUUUUAUUUCAUUAGAAUGCAAGCCCAUUUCUACGCGUUUUCUCCCCAGCGAAGCUGUUGGACAAUUGGUCAAUAGUACACGAACGCAGUAAGAAAGCUACUUACAUUUCAUUCUAUGAUCUCGCUAGGCGUACAUUUCCGUAUCCAUUCUGAAAAAUGUGGCAUUGAACGUAGGUUUGUGUUACCGUCGCUACACACAAACUUGAGUUUGAAUUAUAACUCUACCAGCGACUGGUCCUAUUUUUGAGUCUUGUUAUUGUCUGUCCCGGGCCACAGUGGAGAGCACGUGUGCAUCAGUGAGCUGUCCCUCCUCGGGGGUGUCUCUCACCUGGGGUCCCCUGUGCACACAGCUCCCCUAAGUAACCCUUGCCUGAUCUUGUCUUUACCUCCCUUGUAUGUACCUCAUGUCACAGAACUCUCAUCAAAGUGCUCAAGAGCUUCUUGAAAGACACGUGGUUUCUAU